GUAGGUGGCAAGCGUUGUCCGGGAAUUAUUGGGGCGUAAAGCGCGCGCAGGCGGUUCUUUAAGUCUGAUGUGAAAGCCCACGGGCUCAACCGUGGAGGGUCAUUGGAAACUGGAGAACUUGAGUACAGAAGAGGAAAGCGGAAUUCCACGUGUAGCGGUGAAAUGCGUAGAGAUGUGGAGGAACACCAGUGGCGAAGGCGGCUUUCUGGUCUGUAACUGACGCUGAGGCGCGAAAGCGUGGGGAGCAAACAGGAUUAGAUACCCUGGUAGUCCACGCCGUAAACGAUGAGUGCUAAGUGUUAGGGGGGUUUCCGCCCCUUAGUGCUGCAGCUAACGCAUUAAGCACUCCGCCUGGGGAGUACGGCCGCAAAGGCUG
rnacentral:rRNA from 1 species